rnacentral:rRNA from 1 species
GAUGAACGCUGGCGGCGUGCCUAAUACAUGCAAGUCGAGCGAACAGACGAGGAGCUUGCUCCUCUGACGUUAGCGGCGGACGGGUGAGUAACACGUGGAUAACCUACCUAUAAGACUGGGAUAACUUCGGGAAACCGGAGCUAAUACCGGAUAAUAUAUUGAACCGCAUGGUUCAAUAGUGAAAGACGGUUUUGCUGUCACUUAUAGAUGGAUCCGCGCCGCAUUAGCUAGUUGGUAAGGUAACGGCUUACCAAGGCAACGAUGCGUAGCCGACCUGAGAGGGUGAUCGGCCACACUGGAACUGAGACACGGUCCAGACUCCUACGGGAGGCAGCAGUAGGGAAUCUUCCGCAAUGGGCGAAAGCCUGACGGAGCAACGUCGCGUGAGUGAUGAAGGUCUUCGGAUCGUAAAACUCUGUUAUUAGGGAAGAACAAAUGUGUAAGUAACUAUGCACGUCUCGACGGUACCUAAUCAGAAAGCCACGGCUAACUACGUG